CCAGCUCGGUUUAUAAUCGUGCCGAGCCCGAGCUUGGCCUGGCUCGGCUCAUGAACAACCCUAUUUUAGAAUUACCAUAGUUAAAUGCAUAUGUGCAAUAAUAUUUCUUUCUAGCUAUGCAUGAUUAUAUAUAUAUCUUCUAUUUGAAUUUAUCAACAUGAUAUAGCACAUGUCUUAUAGAUGUAAAGAAGGUAACACAACAUGGUUGUGGAUCUUAUGGAAUUUGUUUCCAAGAGGAAGAACUAGAAGUCUCAUAAGAAGAUUUUACAAUUCUGGAUCGUGAAUGAUUUGGCUAACUAAUAAAAAUUAUAUGAUUUUAAAGCAUGUUUAGAUUGUGCAUUAAAAAUCUAAAAGCAUCGGCAAGAAGCUUUGCUUCAAAAUCAUCAAAGCAAGAGGAGGAUGCUAUUAGAGGUCUGGGAAUCUACAAAGCUCAUCAAAAAAUACUCACUUUUAAACGAGACGAACUUCGAUGUCUCUCGUUGUAUCAAAGCUGUGACUGGAGGAACCAAUCUCUUGGCAACCACCCCCCAUCGGCAUGGGACUGACGAAGUAAAUACUCAAGGAAUCAAGAGAAAUUUGCAACUGAUGCAGGGGAUUUGCAAAUUUGGAGUUGACCCGGGUACUUUUGCCAGCAACCCGCUUAUCAGAGGGGGAGGUUUUGACUCGUCAUAUGGACGAUCCAAAUAGAACUAGUUGGAGGGAGAGCUAAACAGUUUCGAAAUCAUUCUCUACAUGUGGCCAAGAUUGAAGACUGGGCCCUACAUGGGGUUUAACUUCAAGCAAGAACAACCUCCUGAGUUGAUAAAUGCUUAUCAUCACUUAAUUGAUAAGUAUUUGAUAGACUGUAUGCAUGUUUUUGGUGGAGGCGUGAGGGGUGAGGGGUGAGGGCUAGUUGCUUGAUCACCACGGAGGGCCAUACGUGAACUGGAAGUUGGAGGAGCUUGCUACAAAACGCAAAAUGGUGUUCGAUGUCCGUGAAAUUGAUUGGGGAGACAACAAGUUGGCACUGAUCAGAUUUAUCAAGAACUGAAUUUGCCGAGAAUACAACUUUUAUAUCGUGUUCAAACUAUGCAUUUUAGAUGGUCAUAAAAAAAUGACAACUGAAGAUUCUCAAAUCAUUAUAAUAGCAUAAUAGUCAUUUUUCCCCUAAAA